UGGUAGCGCGGAGGAUUGGUUGCUUAGGGUACGAGUUUGCAGUUUUUGAUUCAUCGUACCAUAUUGCAGAGUUUCUUGGUGUCUCUGGAUUGUGGGUCUUUUUUGUGUCCUUGGAACUACUGGGUGCUACUGUGUGGCGUGGUUGCUUAAGGCCAAUCUAUAUCUAUCUAUCUAUAUAAAGCAGGGUCUCAGGAGGGUGAUGCGGCGCUUUCCGUCUUCUGUGGCUUAACCAAUUCAACCUACGCAGAGCUGGCAAAGGUGUAUGAAAAAUACAAGGAUCAAGGUU